AUUCAGGAAUGUUCCCUCUAUACCCACUUUGGCGAGGGUCUUGAUCAUGAAUGGAUGUUGAACUUUGUCAAAUGCUUUUUCUGCAUCUAUUGAGAUGAUCAUAUGAUUUUUGACUUUUUUUUUGUUAAUGUGGUGUAUGAUGCUGAUUGAUUUGCGUAUGUUGAACCAUCCUUGUGAACCUGGGAUGAACCCAACCUGGUCAUGGUGUAUAAUUUUUUUGGUAUGUUGUUGGAUUCGGUUGGCUAAGAUUUUGUUGAGAAUUUUUGCAUCUAUAUUCAUCAAAGAUAUUGGCCGAUAGUUUUCUUUUUUGGUGGUAUCUCUGCCUGGUUUUGGAAUGAGGGUGAUGGUGGCCUCACAGAAUGUCUUUGGGAGUAUUCCUUCUUCUUCAACCUUUUGAAAGAGUUUAAGGAGGAUGGGCACCAAUUUCUAUGUUUGAUAGAAUUCACCUGUGAAGCCAUCUGGUCCUGGACUUUUAUUUAUAGGGAGUGAUUUUAUGACCUCUUCAAUUUCAUUUCUAGUGAUUGGUCUGUUCAGUUGGUCUGUUUCCUCUUGAUUCACUUUUGGCAGACUGUAAGACUCUAGAAAAUUGUCCAUUUCUUCCAGAUUGUCAAACUUGUUGCCGUAUAGUUCUUCAUAGUAUUCUCUUAUGGUUUUUUGUAUUUCUGCUGUAUCCGUUGUGAUUUCUCCUUUUUCAUUUAUAAUUUGGUUAUUUGGGUUCUUUCUCUCCUCUUUUUAGUGAGUCUGGCCAGGGGGUUGUCAAUUUUGUUCACCUUUUCAAAGAACCAGCUCUUGGUUUUAUUAAUUUUCUCUAUUGUUUUUUGAGUCUCUAUUUUAUUGAUUCCUUCUUUGAUCUUUAUAAUUUCCUUCCUUCUGCUGACUUUAGGACUUUUUUUGUUCUUCUUUUUCUAAUUCAUUUAGGUGGAGGGUUAAGUUGUCCAUUUGAGAUCUUUCUUCUUUUUGAGAAAGGCCUGUAUUGCUAUAAAUUUCCCUCUGAGCACUGCUUUCGCAGCAUCCCAUAGAUUUUGAGAGGUUGUGUCUUCAUUAUCAUUUGUUUCAAGGUAGUUUUUAAUUUCCUUCUUGAUUUCCUCACUGACCCAUUGGUUUUUUAGUAGCAUGUUGUUUUGUCUCCAUGUAGUAGGUUUUUUCUCUUUGCUUUUCCCAUGGUUGAUUUCUAAUUUCAUGGCAUUGUGGUCAGAGAAGAUACUUGAGAUAAUUUCUAUGCUCCUAAAUUUAUUGAGAUUCACUUUGUGUCCCAAUAUGUGGUCGAUUCUUGAGAAUGUUCCAUGAGCAUUUGAGAAGAAUGUGUAUUCUGCUUUUUUUGGAUGUAGUGUCCUGAAGAUAUCAAUUAAGUCUAACUUUUCUAUUGUUUCCUUUAGGAUCUCUGUUGCUUUAUUGGUUUUCUGUCUAGAGGAUCUGUCCAUUGAUGUGAGGGGGGUAUUAAGAUCUCCUACUAUGAUUGUAUUCUCAUCAAUAUCUCCCUUUAUGUCUGUUAAUAUUUGUUGUAUGUAUCUGGGUGCUCCUAUACUUGGGGCAUAUAUGUUGAUGAUAGUAACAUCCUCUCCUUGGAUGGAUCCCUUAAUCAUUAAAUAGUGUCCUUCUUUGUCUUUCUUUAUGUCUUUUGUUUUAAAGUCUAUUUUGUCUGAUAUGAGUAUUGCGACUCCUGCUUUCCUGUCUUGUCUAUUGGCGUGAAAUAUUUUUCCCCACCCUUUCACUUUCAAUCUAUAUGUAUCUUUUGUCCUAAGGUGAGUUUCUUGUAGGCAGCAUAUUGAAGGUUUUUGCCUUUUUAUCCACUCAGCCACUCUGCGUCUUUUGAUUGGGGCAUUCAGUCCAUUGACAUUUAAGGUGAUAAUUGAUAGAUGAUUAUUUAUUGCCAUUUGAACGUCGUGUUCCAGUUGAUUCUAUGGUUCUCCAUUCUUCCUUUCUUUUUUUUUUUUUUUUUUUUUGGUUGGAUGGUCUCCUGUUGUUAUCUGCUUGAGUGUAUUUUUUCAUUUUUCUUAAUGUUAUAUUUAUGCUGAUGUUUGUACCUUUGUUACAUCUUUUGUUUGGUUAUAUUGAAUAAGCAUUUAAUGAUAUAAUCUAGAGAUGUUGUUUAUCUUCCUGAAAGCUGCAUUGAACACAAACCAUUCUGAUGACUAAGAUACUUAUUUUAAAGCAAGAGGCAUCCAGCAUGUUAAAGUGAAUGAAUCUGCCAAAAAUUUUAUCACAGAAACCAAAUGUUUGGAGUUUUCAGAAGCAACAAUGGAAUGCAGGCAUGGGGAAAUCCACUGUAGGCUAGCAAUUCAGCUUUGAAAGAUUUACUAAUCUAGUGCAUCAAAUACAUAUUUAGAAACUGAUGUUAAAACAAAUGUUAACUAUACUGUUGUAGUGAUGAUUUCAAUAUACACAAAUAUUGAAUCAUUAUGCUGUAUAAUCAAAAUAUGCCAAUUACAUCACAAUUAAGACAGAAAAAAGAAACUUUAGAUAUUUUAAUAAUUUUCUCAAAUUUCUAUUAAAUGUAAAAAAUAAUGUUUGCAUUUCCCUGAGCAUUAUGCUACAGGAAAGGUAAACUUACUAAUUAGAUUUCAAAGAAGUAUAAAUCAUAGAUAAAAUGAGAAAGUCAUUUAGGAACAUCUGUUUAUUUUAAUAAGAUAUAUCUUUGAAACUUAGUGAGUUUAAUAUAAUAAUUAGUAUAUUUAAGCAUUUGUCUAUUUUUAGAGGAAAAACAUCUCUAUUGUCCAACAUAUCCAGACUUCUCCCAAGGAGAUUAUUAAGAAACAUGCUAAUUAAUUUCAUUUUAGGUGAUUUUUUAAAAACCGAACUUUGUUUUUUAACAUACCUGUAAAUUUAUAUUUAGUGGGAAAAAAAUAAUUCAGAAACUAGUCCUGUGCAUCUUCUAUCCAGUUUCCUCUAAUUGUUACUUGCAAAAUUGUAGCAUAAUAUUACAAUCAGGACUUUUACAUUUACAGUAAUGAGAGAGAACUGUGCCAUCACCACUAGGGCCCCUCACUGCUGCCUUUUCAUAAUCACAUCCACUUCCUUCCUAUCAGCACUCCCUCCCUUGUUCCUGAUAGCCACUAACCUGUUCUAAUUCUGUAAUUAAGAUACCGGAUAUUCAUCAACAGUUAGUGGUGUCACUUUUUUAAGCCAUUCUGAUAAGUGUGCAAUGGCAUCUGAUUGUGAUUUUAAUUUUCAUUCCUCUAAUGGGUAAUGAUAUUGAAUAUUUUUUCAUAUACUUGUCAUCUCUGAGUCUCCAAUGAAAUGCUGCUUCAUGUUUUUGUCCAUAUGGUAGUUGAAUUGUAUGCUGUUUAAAUUUUUACUUUCACUUUUGAGAAAGCUUUACAUCUUCUAAAUACUAGCUCUUUGAUGUAUAUGUUAUGUUCCAAUAUUUUGUCCUGAUCUGUAUCUUGUCUAUUCAUUCCCUUAACAGGAUCUUUCACAGAGGAAAAAAAAUUAUUUUGAGGAAGUUUAAUUUAUCAACAUUUCCUUUUAUGAAUCAGGCUUUUGUGGCAAGUGUAAGAGCUCUUUGCCUAACCAUAAUGUUCUUAUUUUUUCCUAAGUAUGUUUUAUAGUUUUACAUUUUACAUAUAAUUCCAUGAUCUAUGAGGAGUUAAUCAUUGUAUAAGAUAUGAGGCUUAUGUUGAGGUUCAUUUAUUUAAAUUUUUUUUAAACCUUUAAAUGUUCAACUGUUCCACCACCUCUUGAAAAGACUGAAAUGUCUGUCUUUCCUCAGGCAUAUUUUUGAAGAUCUAUUUCCUAUUUGAUUCCUUUAUGCAUCUAUUCCUCUCACAUUAUCAGAGUUUUGGCUACUGCAGCUACAUAGCAAGUCUUAAAAACAGAUAAAUCUACUUGUUACCUAUAAUUUUUAUCAAAACUAUCUUAGCUAAUCUAGUUCCUUAGACUUUCUAUUAAAAAAUUACCAAAAAGGACCUAUUUUUAGCACAGGGAAUUAUAUUCAAUAUUUUAUAAUGACCCAUAAGGUAAAAGAACCUAAAAAGGAAUAGCCAUAUAUGUAUGUGUAACUGAAUCACUGUGCUAUGCACCUGAAACCAACAUAACAUUGUACAUCAACUAUACUUCAUUUUCAUUUUUAAAAGUUAUAAUGUUGUCUAUGUCUGCAAAAAAAUCUUUUGAGUAUUUUGACAAAAACUCUUGUGACGAUUAGUUUUAUGGCCAACUUGAUAUAUAUUUGUGUUAUGUCUAUGUAUUGUGUAUGUUAUAUACAUACCUUGCAAUAGUAUAAAAAUGAAUGAAAAGUCAUUUCAGUUGCAAUUAAAAUAUAUGAUUUUAACAUGUAUCUAAGAUCACAUAGCUAGAUAGUGGCAGAAUUGCGCUUGAACUCUAGCUUUCUUUUAUAUCAAAAUAUAUGUGCUUAAUUUCUGUAUUAGCACAUAUUAUAUCCUAUAUUAUCUCCCUGGGGUGGACAAGAUCUCAUACAGAGAAUAAUACCCUCCACCAAAUAUGUUCAUGUCCUAAUCUCUGUAACCCAUGAAUAUAUAAUUUUAUAUGGUAAAGGAGAAUUUACACAUUUAAUUAAAUUAAGAUCUUUUCUCCUCUCUUUCAGUAAUGAGUGUCACUACCCAUUUUGCUUAGGCAUCUGCUAUAAAUAGUUUCCUAAUAAAAUCUUCAGUGAACUUCCUGCUUCCCACUCUCAACUUCCGUAUAUAAAAUGUACCACAGAUGUUUAAGAGGCGUCUUGUUCAUAUUUUAGCUUUUAGGAACUUUAGCAGUCCCUCUAAAUACAGCAUGCCUAUUGCAAAGAAGAGAAACCACUGAAAUCAUUUUGAGUAAUGGGGGUAUUUAUGUAAAUGAAUAUUUGUUUAAAUAAAAUCCAAGCAAGAAAAGGAAAAAAAAGAGUAAGGAUCAAAAGGAACUAAACUGAACAUCAGAAUACCAGGAAUCAAGACCAUUCUCAAGCAACAAGGGGCUUCGGGGCCUGUCAUCUUAUUUCCCUCUAUCAUCAUUCUCUCUGAAGUGUUUGCCUUGCUCUCACUUUACUAUUUGCACUGCUCUAAACCUAACUUUAACAGACCUUUUAAUUUAAGUGUAUGUAACUGCAGAUUCCAUCUUUUAGUUUAAAUUAUCAAAAGUUUAAGAAUCUGAUUGUCAAUGACUUGAGUGUUUACAGUAAUGUACCACCUGUGGUGCAAUUAACUUUGUAUAUGGGUGGGGAUGGGGCUAAUGCAUAAGAGCACAAACUUGUACAUGAACUUGAGUACCAAAGUUUAACAAAAAAGGAAGGUGUGUGGAUUCCAUUGCGGCUCCGUGGGUUAAGAACAUGACAUAGUGUCCAUGAGGAUGCAGGUUUGAUCACUGGCCUUGCUCAGUGGAUUAAGGAUCUGGCAUUGCCACGAGCCAUGAAACAGUUUGCAGAGGCGGCUUCGGGUCCAGUGUUGCCUCUGCUGUGGUGGAGACUGGCAGCUGCAGCUCUGAUUAGACUCCCUAGUCCAAUCUUCCAUACGCUGCUGUGAAGCU
rnacentral:lncRNA from 1 species